AUCCUCAUCCCUACAAAAUUGGGUGGCUCAAUAAAGGGUACAACAUACUAAUAACUUCUCCAUGUUUGGUAAAAUUCACUAUAUAACUUAAAUAAUGAGGCAUUAUGUGAUACUGUACCAAUGGAUUUUGGUCAUAUUCUCAUUGGCAGAACUUUGUUGUUUGAUCAUGACAUAGAACGUAAGAUAAAGCCUAAUACUUAUUCUUUCUGCAAAGACAAUAAGAUGUAAGCUCUAUAUCCUCUUAGGAAAGGGGCAAAGAAAUUGGCAACAUAGAGUCCAAAAGCCAGGAAAACUGAAUAAAAUCCAAAACUGAAUAGGA
rnacentral:misc_RNA from 1 species